UACGUAGGGGGCAAGCGUUGUUCGGAAUUACUGGGCGUAAAGCGCGCGCAGGUGGUUUCUUAAGUCUGAUGUGAAAGCCCACGGCUCAACCGUGGAGGGUCAUUGGAAACUGGGAGACUUGAGUGCAGAAGAGGAAAGUGGAAUUCCAUGUGUAGCGGUGAAAUGCGUAGAGAUAUGGAGGAACACCAGUGGCGAAGGCGACUUUCUGGUCUGUAACUGACACUGAGGCGCGAAAGCGUGGGGAGCAAACAGG
rnacentral:rRNA from 1 species